UACGUAGGGGGCUAGCGUUGUCCGGAAUCAUUGGGCGUAAAGCGCGCGUAGGCGGCCCGGUAAGUCCGUUGUGAAAGCCAAAGGCUCAACCUUUGAAUGCCGAUGGAUACUGCCGGGCUCGAGUCCGGAAGAGGCGAGUGGAAUUCCUGGUGUAGCGGUGAAAUGCGCAGAUAUCGGGAGGAACACCGGUGGCGAAGGCGGUUCUCUGGGCCUUACCUGACGCUGAGGAGCGAAAGCGUGGGGAGCGAACAGG
rnacentral:rRNA from 1 species